AAACACAAAGGUUUGGUCCUGGCCUUUCCAUUAGUUAUUAAUAAGAUUACACAUGCAAGCCUCCGCAUCCCGGUGAAAAUGCCCUCUAAGUCACCCAGUGACCUAAAGGAGCUGGUAUCAAGCACACAACCACAGUAGCUCAUAACACCUUGCUCAGCCACACCCCCACGGGAUACAGCAGUGAUAAAAAUUAAGCCAUGAAUGAAAGUUCGACUAAGCUAUAUUAAACAAGGGUUGGUAAAUUUCGUGCCAGCCACCGCGGCCAUACGAUUAACCCAAACUAAUAGACCCACGGCGUAAAGCGUGUUACAGAGAAAAAAAUAUACUAAAGUUAAAUUUUAACUAGGCCGUAGAAAGCUACAGUUAACAUAAAAAUACAGCACGAAAGUAACUUUAACACCUCCGACUACACGACAGCUAAGACCCAAACUGGGAUUAGAUACCCUACUAUGCUUAGCCCUAAACUUAGAUAGUUACCCUAAACAAAACUAUCCGCCAGAGAACUACUAGCAAUAGCUUAAAACUCAAAGGACUUGGCGGUGCUUUACAUCCCUCUAGAGGAGCCUGUUCUAUAAUCGAUAAACCCCGAUAUACCUCACCAUCUCUUGCUAAUUCAGCCUAUAUACCGCCAUCUUCAGCAAACCCUAAAAAGGAAGAAAAGUAAGCACAAGUAUCUUAACAUAAAAAAGUUAGGUCAAGGUGUAGCUCAUGAGAUGGGAAGCAAUGGGCUACAUUUUCUAAAAUUAGAACACCCACGAAGAUCCUUACGAAACUAAGUAUUAAAGGAGGAUUUAGUAGUAAAUUUGAGAAUAGAGAGCUCAAUUGAAUCGGGCCAUGAAGCACGCACACACCGCCCGUCACCCUCCUCAAGUGGUAACUCCCAAAAAAACCUAUUUAAAUUAUCACACCCACAAGAGGAGAUAAGUCGUAACAAGGUAAGCAUACUGGAAAGUGUGCUUGGAUAACAAGAUGU
rfam:Felis catus mitochondrion, complete genome.